rnacentral:ncRNA from 1 species
GGCAAGCCGCUGUCGUCGACAGCACCCAGGUAGCCCGAACCUUCAAGGCUACGCCGCGUUGCGGUGGUUCAACCCAAGUGCGCACAGCGUCCGGCAGCGCGCACGAUUGCCGUCCCCGGCAAUGGAUG